rnacentral:rRNA from 1 species
GAUGAACGCUGGCGGCGUGCCUAAUACAUGCAAGUCGAGCGAACAGACGAGGAGCUUGCUCCUCUGACGUUAGCGGCGGACGGGUGAGGAACACGUGGAUAACCUACCUAUAAGACUGGGAUAACUUCGGGAAACCGGAGCUAAUACCGGAUAAUAUAGUGAACCGCAUGGUUCAAUAGUGAAAGACGGUUUUGCUGUCACUUAUAGAUGGAUCCGCGCCGCAUUAGCUAGUUGGUAAGGUAACGGCUUACCAAGGCAACGAUGCGUAGCCGACCUGAGAGGGUGAUCGGCCACACUGGAACUGAGACACGGUCCAGACUCCUACGGGAGGCAGCAGUAGGGAAUCUUCCGCAAUGGGCGAAAGCCUGACGGAGCAACGCCGCGUGAAUGAUGAAGGUCUUCGGAUCGUAAAACUCUGUUAUUAGGGAAGAACAAAUGUGUAAGUAACUAUGCACGUCUUGACGGUACCUACUCAGAAAGCCACGGCUAACUACGUG